GAAUGUUUUGCGUGCAUUCGAGGAGACUGUGUACCCCUGCUGCUGUUGGAUGGCACGUCUGGAUGCGGUUAUGCAGUCCUGCGUAGGUGCCUGUGUAUUCAAAGACGCGGUCAGCUCUUCCAGACGGACUUUGGGUCCCGCCUGCUGCGGACCCGUGCAGUUGUCCUCUUUGCUUUUGGAGACUGGAAUGCCAAGGCGCACAGCGUCUUCGUCCCUUGGCUGCCUCUUUCUCCAGCCCGGGUAGAUGCCCAAUCACUCUGGCCAACCUGGCCAACCGCCCGGCACCCAGCUCAGAGCCCAGAACACAAAAGGAGUCUGGGAAGGCUCCAGGAGACCAGAAGUCAGAUGCUAACCCCACAGACCUUGACAGCAGCCUCCAUGUGCCGCAAUGUCCAUUCAUCAAGAACUCACUUUGCUAUUAUUUUCUUCUCUUAAUUCCCCACGUGUUAAUGAGAAACACUUCAGGUAGGUGCUCCAUAAACAAGCGAUUACUAAAAAGGCAUUUAAAGGUCUGCUCCAUUACUGUCUCUGAUAU
rnacentral:lncRNA from 1 species